rnacentral:misc_RNA from 1 species
UUAGAAGCCGAAAGGCUACUUAAAACCAUCGCGAACUCGUCCAAGUUGCUUCGGCGGCGCGGCCUCCCUCACGGGGGCGCCGCAGCCCCGCCUCUCCGGAGGUGUGGGGCGCCCGCCGGAGGUACGAAACUCUGUAUUAUAGUGGCAUCUCUGAAGUAAAAAACAAUAAGUUA